rnacentral:piRNA from 1 species
UAUAAUGUGCCAGGUACUGUUUUUAAUUAA